AUAAUACUCCAUAGAUUAGAGACACUGGAAUGUUCUUUAGUCGAAAGUUCUGGCGCCUUAGGGUGGAUCUGCGGUCGAUUAGGUUGUUGUUGGGGUAACGGCCCAACAAGCCUGUAAUCGAUACGGGUUGUGGGAGCAAGAGCCCGGAGAUGGAAUCUGAGACACGAUUCCAGGCCCUACGGGGCGCAGCAGGCGCGAAAACUUUACAAUGCAGGAAACUGUGAUAAGGGAACUCCGAGUGCCCGUAUACGCGGGCUGUCCAGGUGUUUAAAAAUCAUCUGAAGAAAGGGCCGGGCAAGACCGGUGCCAGCCGCCGCGGUAAUACCGGCGGCUCGAGUGGUGGCCACUAUUAUUGGGCUUAAAGCGUCCGUAGCUGGACCGAUAAGUCUCUUGGGAAAUCCGCCGGCUCAACCGGCGGGCGUCUAAGGGAUACUGUUAGUCUAGGGACCGGGAGAGGUGAGAGGUACUCCGGGGGUAGGAGUGAAAUCCUGUAAUCCCCGGGGGACCACCGAUGGCGAAGGCAUCUCACCAGAACGGCUCCGACAGUGAGGGACGAAAGCUGGGGGAGCGAACCGGAUUAGAUACCCGGGUAGUCCCAGCCGUAAUAUGCGCGUUAGGUGU
rnacentral:rRNA from 1 species